GACGAACGCUGGCGGCGUGCCUAAUACAUGCAAGUAGAACGCUGAAGGAGGAGCUUGCUUCUCUGGAUGAGUUGCGAACGGGUGAGUAACGCGUAGGUAACCUGCCUGGUAGCGGGGGAUAACUAUUGGAAACGAUAGCUAAUACCGCAUAAGAGUAGAUGUCGCAUGACAUUUGCUUAAAAGGUGCAAUUGCAUCACUACCAGAUGGACCUGCGUUGUAUUAGCUAGUUGGUGAGGUAACGGCUCACCAAGGCAACGAUACAUAGCCGACCUGAGAGGGUGAUCGGCCACACUGGGACUGAGACACGGCCCAGACUCCUACGGGAGGCAGCAGUAGGGAAUCUUCGGCAAUGGACGGAAGUCUGACCGAGCAACGCCGCGUGAGUGAAGAAGGUUUUCGGAUCGUAAAGCUCCGUUGUAAGAGAAGAACGAGUGUGAGAGUGGAAAGUUCACACUGUGACGGUAUCUUACCAGAAAGGGACGGCUAACUACGUG
rnacentral:rRNA from 1 species